rnacentral:rRNA from 1 species
UACAGAGGAUGCAAGCGUUAUCCGGAAUGAUUGGGCGUAAAGCGUCUGUAGGUGGCUUUUUAAGUCCGCCGUCAAAUCCCAGGGCUCAACUCUGGACAGGCGGUGGAAACUACCAAGCUGGAGUACGGUAGGGGCAGAGGGAAUUUACGGUGUAGCGGUGAAAUGCGUAGAUAUCGUAAGGAAGACCAGUGGCGAAGGCGGGUCGUCUGGACAGUUCCUGACGCUGAGGCACGAAGGCCAGGGGAGCAAACGGG